rnacentral:lncRNA from 1 species
UUUAAACAAUUUAUAAAAGUGUGGUCUCUCCACCAUAGUUACCUAUGCAUUAUUUGGCACAAACCGAACAUUUUAGUUUUGAUAUUUGAAAACUUUUAUUAUUUGCUUUUAUUUAAAUUUUGAAUUUGUUUCGGUUCUGAACUGUCGAGAGUUUAUCAACAGUAACCGGGGUGACGUGGCAUCGUUAACGUGGGAUUACUGUAGCUUAAUUAUCCGGGCGUCACAAUUCUCCUCCACUACAAGAAAUCUCGUCUCGAGAUUUAAGAGGUGGAGCAAGGGGGAAAGAUCUGGUUACGAAAUUCUAACGAAUCUUCUUGGACUUGGUUGCUAUUCUCAGAGAGGUCGAUCCAUUAUGUUGAUGUCUUCAUUUCUCUGCUUCAGGUCAUCAUGCUGAAGUCGACAUCCUUUCUUCUGGAACUCCAUCGUACUUACGAAUGUAUAAAGGGGGUAUUCCGAGAGAACGGACCUCUGCAAGGUUGACUAUGUGGUAGCUAACAUCGGGGAAGGUGGCGGAAAGUAACUCUCGAAUUGCAACUUAAGAAAUUAUCGAGAGCAAAGUAAGAAGGUACAAAAAUAGAAGUUUCAAGCGCAUAGGCAAUCGUUCGUUGCCUGAAACGAAGUGUUGAAGGGGUUUAGAGCAAUGUGAAUAAGCAUUGCAUCUGAUACGAGUAUAGAUCACUAGGCAGGCGGCCCGUGAAUUACAUACAAAGUCAAGCGCGAGGAAUAACUUUGACAACAAGGUGUACAUGAGAGUCAGGUUUUGAUCCUGUGGAACUGUGGGUUAUGGGCCCACCAUGUGGGUUAAGGUAAGAGGGGCAGCGACAUCUUGUAUGGUCAUGAUAGCAAGGCAUGUCAGAGGGUAGCCUGCCAGUUAUGAUGGCAACAAUGCUGGUACCAAGGGCGAGGGGCGAAGAGAACCAUUUUCCUGCUCGUUGAAACGAGGCGGACCAAUAGGCAAAGUUCUCGUCCAUCGGUGGUUACCGGAAUGCUGUCAACCGUAGUAACAGGGUCUUACUGAUAAGGUUGUACACCGAGGUGUUUACAUAAGCAGGGAAAUAUUACUACUUAUAUCAUAUAGAUCACCAGAAAGGUUAAACAAAACAAUGGAAAGGAAAAUUGUUUAUCAGAUUUAAUCAGAACAAUGGAAAGAAAAAUGUGUUUAAACGCAUAUUUCAGGGGUAUGUCCUUCCCAAGGACAAGCAGAGCAUGAUAUCCAUGACAGGAUAUAAUGUAGAAAAACUCUUUAGGUAAGGGGAGAGAAAUUUCAUGACAUUACCCAUACAACGGUGUUUGGAUAAUUGAGCAAGAAAACAUUUAGCAUUGGGCUUCAAAUGUUCUUGUCGAAAAUCGGAGUACCACAGACAUGCUUCGGGAUAGCAUUGACAUGGUCUUCAAGCAAGUGUCGGACUUUGGAUACUCAAUGGAUGCAUCAGGAAUAACUUGUAGAAUAAGUCUUACAAUUUCCUCAUGGAAGAAUGGAUAACCUUGCUGAAAGGAAGAACUAUAACAAUAGGUCCUCCGGUCAAGUGUGCUAGGCAUGACAUCACCUUACCGGGUCAUAUAAAGACCAAUGUUAUAACUCUUGCAAAUAUGCUCCAACCAUCAUAGCUGGCCGAGAUUCAGAUCUGAUCGGUGUUAGGAAACCUCAGACUCAGGAUGCCUGAGAAGAAAGGUGCAACACAAAUUGUCGAAACGACAUCGAAGAUUCUCGGGAGAUGAACUAUGGAUGCGAGUUCCGAACAAGGGUUCAUCAUUAAAUCAAGGAGAGGUGAGGAGGUGACUGAUUGACUCAGCGACAAUCCAUUGAGAUUUCCAAAAGAUGGAUUUCCACAACUAUGUGAACAAGGAGAUAACAUUAGCUAGAUCGAAUGACUUAAUGAUGUAUGCUCGAGGAAAACAUACACAGUUAAACAUUGGUUGAAAUGUGCACCCGAAAUAUGGGCUAGGUAGCACGAUCAAUGUUCGAAUGAUGAUUCAUUAAGCCAUAGACGUAGAAUGAAACUAUAGACCAAUAACUUCAAAGCAAUAGGGUUGCUAGAAGUUUAGAAUUUACACAUCACAGACCAUUUGUCGGUAUUUCGUCUAGAAACAACACGGGGACCAAGAAAGAAUGGUGAUGGUGAGAAGUAUCACUGUACCAAGAAUUCUUAAGAGGUGGAGUAAUCCUCACGACAUUCUUGACAUAAAAGAUGGUAAUACUCCAAGGUAGAACAUAUGAUAAGCUAGAUAGCAGGGAAAUCAAGAUACAACACAAAAUAUGAACAAGUUUGUGUUGGGGGGGAGGCAAGAAUGUUGUCGAUGAUAACACAAUUCAUCGAGGGGCAAGGAUGGUAUUUCUCAUCCUGAAUUUUGACACACAACUUGGAAGAAGUCAAAUUGUUGACAAAGAUCACGACAAAUUUGUCGAGAGGUUUUCAAGAAGAUGUAAUUGAUCGACGAUGACAUCAAGUCAAAGGAAUGAUGAAAGUGAAAGGUUAUUAGAACCACGGGUAGGACACAAACUCGAAAUCAACUUUGCUGUUCAAGGAGAAGUGAUAUGACGAGGAAGAUCAACGCAAGAUUAGCUCAUUGUCGAAAUUUGUGCGCUGGGAAGGUCCAGGUAGCACAGUUAAAAUCGGCACGAUAAUGACAUAGCCGAGCAGGCUAGGAAGGACAUUGAAGAAUUAUUAAACUCGUAAGCAACAAAAAUUACUUAGAGUUAUUGAAUCGGAGUGCGGAAUUGAUUCACUUAUCGGUGUCCUUGGGGGGGUUCUAACAACUCAGAACCCGUUGGAAACAUGGAAUCGGCAAGAAUAUUAGUUGAUGAAGAACUCAUAAGAAGUUAAGUAGUUCCUUGGCAUUCCCGACAUACCAGGGGGGUAAUACUCGACGACACACCAAAGUAGAGGUUGGACGGGGGUAUUGCUCUGCAGAGGACAAGUGCUUAAACUUGCACGAGAAAUGGUAUUUAAAGGAGAACAUGGCCAGAACCACGAUUGAAAAAGGCCAAAUCCCAGAUAUAAGAUGAAUUUAUACCCAGGGAAUAAGUAAUUAAAGAGAAGCUUUAAUGAUAAGAUCUACAUCGUGUCCAUGGGCAUGAACACAAAGUUCAAGGUCGACUCCCACUUCUCCAAUGCAUAACCUUUCAUUCACUUCUCGCAUUCGAUGAAGUUAUAUGGUAGAAAAUUAUCUGGUAAAAUACCAGAAGGGUAUGACUUGUGAAAACCUUCGGGUUCAUACGGUUUUUAGGGAAGGUAUAGGUUCAAUCCAUCGGGGCAUCUUAGAAACAUAUACCUCAAACUUCAAGAGUAAAAUCACCAGCUCAAAAGUAGAGUGCGGUUAUCAAGCAGAGGAUACAAAUUACCAAAGGCAUUAUAUAUCCAUGGAAAUGAUCACAAGGUUAUUGAAUAUGAAGGACACUGUCGGAUAAUAACCCAACAAGGGGUCUUGUGGUUUAUAACGGAGCUGAUGCGAGUAUCGGUACUCUAUCAGAGGAAGAAGGAACGAAAGGGCAUCGGACUAUAAAAACAACUGAGUAAUUCAAAGCCCAAAUGCAAAGGAAUUAUCAUUUCCAAAUCAAGGGAUCAGAAGCCAAUGGCCUGAUUAAGAAUGGAUAGGUGGAAUAGACUUAGGGGUACAAUCGACGGCAAUUUGAUUGGUCGAUAACCAGUUCACGUUUCAAAUGACGUCUGAGCCGGAAGGAUGAAUACUAGGCUCUGAUUGAGGAUUGCGAGCCUUCGCAACAAAUUGAAUCAACGGACUCAAAAUGAUAAUGACAAGAGAUGCCAAUAAGAUUACGAGACUUAAGAUUAAUCAUAAUGCAAGUAAGCAAGAAUUUCAAGAGCAAAAAGGCUCCUGAGGAUUUUCGGAAGAUCGAAUGGUAUUUUGAACACUUUUGUGAAAUACUAGAAUCAACUGGGGGUGAGCGGAUACUCGGUAAGUGCGAGAAUUAUCCGUAGGGUUAUUCAGGUGACAAAGAACAGCAAGGCAGUAAGCUCAAAGGAUUCUCGGAACAACAGAGAGAAUUUCGGGGUAUCUUGUAAUAACAAGAUCAACUGGGAAACAUUGUAUGAAUGGCGAGUAUACGUGGUUAUCCAUAGGAGUUUAUCGAUGGAAGGGAAUUGCAAAAGCGAUGAACACAAGUUCUCGGGUUAACAGUGAAGAGUGUCUUCAGGGUCCCCACGUGCAGCAGACGAUCAUCAGUAAUAAGGGGCUCUCCGGGUGAAAGUGAUAACGAGAUCCUAAUGUUAGAAUUAGCAAAAUUCAUUUAACCCGAAUAGAAGAGAGAUCAUAGUCCCAGAGUAUAGACAAGGAGUAAAAGAUCCUAAUACCCCCCAAUGGCGACGUGGGCCCAUAACCCACAGGUCCCAGGAUCGAAACCUGGCUCUAAUACCAACUUGUGACGCCCCCGAUUCAAUCGUACACUAAUCAUGGACGCAAACGUGUACGAUCAAGAUUAGGGACUCACGGGAAGAUAUCACAACACAACUCUAAAACAUAAAUAAGUCAUACAAGCAUCAUAAUACAAGCCAGGGGCCUCGAGGGCUCGAAUACAAGUGCUCGAUCAUAGACGAGUCGGCGGAAGCAACAAUAUCUGAGUACACACAUAAGUUAAACAAGUUGGCCUUAAGAAGGCUAGCACAAACUGGGAUACAGAUCGAAAGAGGCGCAGGCCUCCUGCCUGGGAUCCUCCUAACUACUCCUGGUCAUCGUCAGCGGGCUGCACGUAGUAGUAGGCACCUCCGGUGUCGUAGGAGUCAUCGUCGACGGUGGCGUCUGGCUCCUGGGCUCCAGCAUCUGGUUGCGACAACCAGGUAGAAAGGAAAGGGGGAAAAGAGGAAGAAAAGCAACCGUGAGUACUCAUCCAAAGUACUCGCAAGCAAGGAGCUACUCUACAUAUGGAUGGGUAUAUGUGUAAAGGGCCAUAUCGGUGGACUGAACUGCAGAAUGCCAGAAUAAGAGGGGGAUAGCUAAUCCUGUCGAAGACUACGUUUCUGGCAGCCUCCAUCUUGCAGCAUGUAGAAGAGAUUAGAUUGAAGUCCUCCAAGUAGCAUCGCAUAGCAUAAUCCUACCCGGCGAUCCCCUCCUCGUCGCCCUGUUAGAGAGCGAUCACCGAGUUAUAUCUGGCACUUGGAAGGGUGUGUUUUAUUAAGUAUCCGGUUCUAGUUGUCAUAAGGUCAAGGUACAACUCCGGGUCGUCCUUUUACCGAGGGACACAGCUAUUCGAAUAGAUAAACUUCCCUGCAGGGGUGCACCACAUAACCCAACAUGCUUGAUCCCAUUUGGCCGGACACACUUUCCUGGGUCAUGCCCGGCCUCGGAAGAUCAACACGUCGCAGCCCCACCUAGGCACAACAGAGAGGUCAGCACGCCGGUCUAAAUCCUAUGGCGCAGGGGUCUGGGCCCAUGGCCCAUUGCACACCUGCACGUUGCGAGGGUGGCCGGAAGCAGACGUAGCCUAGCAGGCGUUCCAGUCCAAUCCGGCGCGCGCCGCUCCGUCGCUGACGCCACGAAGGCUUCGGCUGAUACCACGACGUCGAGUGCCCAUAACUGUUCCCGCGUAGUUGGUUAGUGCGUAUAAACCAAAUGGCCAGACUCAGAUCAAAUACCAAGAUCUCGUUAAGCGUGUUAAGUAUCCACGAACGCCGACCAGGGCUAGGCCCACCUCUCUCCUAGGUGGUCUCAACCUGCCCUGUCGCUCCGCCACAAAGUAACAAUCGGGGCCGUCAGGAACCCAGGCCCACCUCUACUGGGAUGGAGCCACCUGUCCUUUCAGCCCCCUCAUUAGAAUCACUUGCGGGUACUCAACGAGCUGACCCGACUUUAGUCACCACAUGUGUCAUGUAUAUAAAGUAUAUAGUAUAUACCCGUGAUCACCUCCCUAGUGAUCACGACCCGAUAGUAUAGCAUGGCAGACGGACAAGAAUGUAGGGCCUCUGAUGGAAAAACUAGCAUCCUAUUCUAAGGAGUAGGAUAGCAGGUAAGGGUAACAACUGUAGCAACAAUGACAGGCUAUGCAGCAGAAUAGGAUUAACCGAAAGAAGUAACAUGCUACACUCUUCUAAUGCAAGCAGUAUAGAGAAGAAUAGGCGAUAUCUGGUGAUCAAGGGGGGGCUUGCCUGGAAGCUCUGGCAAGAAGGACGGGUGGUCGUCGACGUAGUCGUACUCAGGGGCAUCAGCGUCGGUCUUGAGGUCUACCGGAGAAGAAGAGGGGGAAGAAACAGUAAAUAUAAUGCAAACAGAUGCAUGAUGGUGCAUGACAAAGCAAACAGCGGUGCUAGGUGUGCCCAAACACGGUAGGAGGUGAUACCGGCGAAGGGGGAAAACAUCCGGGAAAGUAUCCCCGGUGUUUCGCAUUUCGGACAGAUGAACCGGAGGGGGAAAGUUGCGUGUUUGCUAUGCUAGGUAUGGGUGGCGGACAAACGGGCUACGUAACCGGAUUCGUCUCGUCGUUCUGAGCAACUUUCAUGUAGAAAGUAUUUUCAUCUGAGCUACAGUUUAUUUUAUAUGAUUUUCUGAAGUUUUAAAUCAUUUUAAAAAUUUAUUUAAUUAAUUUAAUUCAACAUUAUCCAGAAUAGUGCAUGUUGACGUCAUCAUGACAUCAGCGUGAUGUCAGCAUCCAACAGAGGUGUUGACUGGUCAAACUGACGUGUGGGUCCAGUGGGACCCACCUGUCAUACUCUGUUAAGGUUAACUAGGGUUUAGCUAAACUAAUUACUGUUUAACUAAACUAACAAGUUAAUCAGAUUAAUUAAAUAUGAUUAAUUAACUUAAUUAAUUCACUAAUUAAUUAAUUAUUAAUUUUAUUUACUUUUAUUUUACAAAAAACAUUCUGGGCUGGGCCCGUUUGUCAUAGGCCCUGGGGAGGCCUAGCGGGUUUGGGCGCGGGUGCGCGAACAAGCGCGGGCGCCAGGAGCGGGCGCCCGACAGGGGCGAGAUCAGACAUGGCGUCGCCCGAGCGGGAGCGCCGGCGAGCAGGGCGGGACGCUGGUGGCCAUGGCUGCGCGCCGGCGUGGCGAAGUAGCAGGACCACCGCGGGACGGAAACGGGGCGACGGGGCGGGGAGCCGACGAGCACGGGUGGAGGUGGCCGCGGACGACUGCGGCGGGCUCGCGCAGGCGAGGCGAGUCUAUGACAGGCGGGCCGGGGAGCCGGUGCGGACCGUGGGCGCGCAGGAGCGCGGCCACGCACGCGCUGGGCGCGGCGGGGGGGAACGGCGCCGGCGACAGAGAGGGGAGGAGGAGUCGGGGCUCACUGCGGGAUGCAAGGAUCGGGGCAGUGGGGCACGGGGAGGAGACGGAGACGACGGCGACGUGGUGACGAGGUGCAGGCAGGCGAGGACGCUCCGGGCGGCGCCGGGCGGCGAGGUGACGGCGACCACAGCGGGGCGGCGUCGAGGUGUGAUGGCGAGUGGUGGGGAGGGGGACGAGGAGGCGAUUCGGCGACGGUGACGGGGCGGCGUUCACCGGGUUGGCGUAGGGGCGGGAGGGCGUUGCGGCGAGGGCGGGCUCCGGCGUAGUGGCCGCAGGGAUCGGCGGCGGCGUUCGUGCCCCGAUCCAGAUCGGAUUGGGUGGGGAGAGGGAGAGGGCGAACGAGUGGGGGGAGUGGGGGUGUCGGUUAGGGUUUGUGGGAGUGGGGGAGGCCUAUGUAGGCCAGAGGCGUGGGCCGGCCUGGCUGGGCCAUGGCCCAGUUGGGCCAAGGGGUCCAGUGGGGGGGGUAUUUGUCUCCCCCUAUUUUAUUUAUUUUUGAAUUUUGUUUUAUUUCUUUUCUGUUCUAAUUUUAAAUUUUAAAUACAUUAGUUUUAUAAAAUACAUUAGUUGUACCUAAAUUAGUGUUAACAAUUAUGCCACCACCACAAUUAACUUGGCACCUAAAAUAAAUUAGUUUGUAAUUGUUUAUUAUUUUAAAAGCAUUUAAAUAAUUGUUCUCGCUGCGUUUUAUUUUUUUAGAGUAUUUAAACCAUUUAUAAAAGUGUGGUCUCUCCACCAUAGUUACCUAUGCAUUAUUUGGCACAAACCGAACAUUUUAGUUUUGAUAUUUUAAAACUUUUAUUAUUUGUUUUUAUUUAAAUUUUGAAUUUAUUUCGGUUCUGAACUAUCGAGAGUUUAUCAACAGUAACCGGGGUGACGUGGCAUCGUUAACAUGGGAUUACUGUAGCUUAAUU